rnacentral:rRNA from 1 species
CCUACGGGUGGCAGCAGUGAGGAAUAUUGGUCAAUGGGCGGAAGCCUGAACCAGCCAAGUAGCGUGCAGGAUGACGGCCCUACGGGUUGUAAACUGCUUUUAUACGGGAAUAACGCGCCUUACGUGUAGGGCUUUGCAUGUACCGUAUGAAUAAGGACCGGCUAAUUCCGUGCCAGCAGCCGCGGUAAUACGGAGGGUCCGGGCGUUAUCCGGAUUUAUUGGGUUUAAAGGGAGCGUAGGCGGCAUGUCAAGCGUGCUGUGAAAUGUCCGGGCUCAACCCGGGCCUUGCAGCGUGAACUGGCGGGCUUGAGUCCGGUGAAGGCAGGCGGAAUGCGUGGUGUAGCGGUGAAAUGCUUAGAUAUGACGAAGAACCCCGAUUGCGAAGGCAGCUUGCUGGAGCGGAACUGACGCUGAUGCUCGAAAGCGCGGGUAUCGAACAGGAUUAGAUACCCUUGUAGUC